UGUUUUAAGAGCACUUAAAUGGCUUUUUGGAAAGCCAAAUUUUGAUUUGCAUGAACAUUACCGGUAACAAAAUCAAAAUGUGGCUUGAAAAAAGCCAUUUAAGUGUUUUUAAAACACAUUGGUCAGCAGGCACUAAUGUGCAUUUAAACAGGAAUAAAACUAAUUAUAAGUCUUCUUUACUUCUUUAGGUAUGGGGAUUGGUGUUGCAAGUGAUGACCGAAGGCAAAUUGCUCCUAACAUAACCCCUGUCCCUCCUCCUUCAGUCAAAGAACUUGUUGAAACCCAUCAGUCUAGAUUCAACUGAUCACUGUAGACAAGUGUCUGGCACUUAAAACAAAGUGCUCUGGUUAGGUGGAGCUUGUAAUCCCUGAAAGGCAGUCCACCUAGGAGAAGGAACUCUGAUUACAAACUCCCGGACCCAAAUAGUGAGUCAGGCUGUCCAUAUUGGAUUCAUUGAUCUUCGGUGCACAGCAAUACACUUUUCAGGACUGAAGUAAGGAGCAAGGAGUAAUUUUAAAAAAUAAAAAAAUCAAUGUCAAUACCAAAUGUUGUGCUUGAACAUCCAAUGAAUUUGAUAACUUGUCUUUUAUAAAAUGAAAUAUUACUGUUCAUAAAAGAUUUAACCCAUUGACAUGAUAAAGUCUUUCAUUUGUCAGCAAAAUUUGCUGUGGUUAGUAGACAGAGAAAGCUUAAAAUAAGUUUGAAGCAAUUUUGAACUGCAAUUGUCUACUUUUGGUGUAUGUGUUAGAGUGAAUAAUCAAGCCACGCAAAGUAAUGUUUCCUGUAAUUUUGCUAAAACACAUAUGCCAAAAGGAGAAAAUCAAAGUUUCAAACGGGCCUUAACAGGUGUGAAUUACCCAUGUUCUGUCAAAAUAUUUAAAAUGAUCCUCCCUGUCAUGGGGAGAUAAUUGCAGUAAAAUGGAUUAAUGAAUAAUAAAGUUUCCCUCAAUGAUCAAUAACAUAAUAAAAACAUGUGCAACAAAUAUUUACAAUCUAGCAGGUUGAUACCCAGUGUAUAUCCCAUUUGGAGAAGGAUAUUGUCUCUGUAUUGCUGUAACACAACAGCUUGGAAUCACUCUCCUGUUCCGACUUCCUAACCUUCGUUGUUGCCAGAGUACGUAUUGUCUGUGAGCAGCAUGGCAAAAUUUUCAUUGUUUCUAAUAUUAUUUAACACUAAAAAGUCUUCCCUCUAAUGCAUGGCCAGGUCCAAAUCAAACAUUUCCAUCAAGUACUAACUGUGGGAAGAGAGGGCUAUUUUCCAAUUGUGUUGGCAUUGCAACACAGCAUCCACAUUUGCAAUACUCUGAGGCAUUUUCUGGGUUUUCGUAGCUGGGUCUGGUUGAAGCGGUUCACCUGGCAAUUUACCAAAUUGACAAAUGCUGCUGGCUGAUGCUGUAUAAGCUCUAGAGCAAAUGCUCUUCAAAGGGCAUUUAAAUCCAUUGCUACCACAAGAGUCUGAAAUGAAUAUAUUUAUCAUUAAUUAAAUGCAAAAAC
rnacentral:lncRNA from 1 species